UACGAAGGGUGCAAACGUUGCUCGGAAUUAUUGGGCGUAAAGCGCACGUAGGCGGCUUGGCAAGUCGGAUGUGAAAUCCCUCGGCUCAACCAAGGAAGUGCAUCCGAAACUGCUGAGCUUGAGUACUUAAGAGGAUCGCGGAAUUCCCGGUGUAGAGGUGAAAUUCGUAGAUAUCGGGAGGAACACCAGUGGCGAAGGCGACUUCCUGGCCUGUUCUUGACGCUGAGGCGCGAAAGCUAGGGUAGCAAACGGG
rnacentral:rRNA from 1 species